CCAUGCUUACUGCCCAUUGACCAGCAUAACAAAUGUUUCAAGUGUACAGUGUCAGACUGACAUUAAUUUGGAGGACCUGUCCAUCUAUCAGGAUGUACACCUUAAAAACCAGGGCAGCUUAAGAAGAAGCUUAAUAGUUUCAGAUGUCCUGCAAGAUGAUAACUCUUGUAAAAUUUACACAGGGCUGUCUCUUGGAAUUUUCUUUUUGUUGUUUAAUUCUCUAAAAGAAAAGGCCCUAAGACUAUCAUACUGGAGGGGAAAAGAAACAAACUUGGAAAACCAUCAGGCAAAAAGAAAAGGACCAAAAAGACACUUAAGUAUUUUAGAGGAAAUGGUAAUGACACUGAUACGACGUAGAAGAAGCAUAGAUACAACAACUUUGGGUGCCAUGUUUGGUGUAAAGGCAGGAACUGUCAGCAAUUUUUUUUUUCUUGGACUACUUUUCUUUACUUCGAACUUAAAUUCUUGAUCU